rnacentral:misc_RNA from 1 species
GAUGAAGAACGUAGCGAAAUGCGAUAAUUAAUGUGAAUUGCAGAAUUUAGUGAAUCAUCGAAUCUUUGAACGCACAUUGCGCCCCUUGGUAUUCCGGGGGGCAUGCCUGUUCGAGCGUCAUUUCAACCCUCAAGCUCUGCUUGGUCUUGGGCCGCGCCGGCAACGGCGGGCCUCAAAAACAGUGGCGGCGCCAUCUGGUCCCUCAGCGUAGUAAUUCUUCUCGCUAUGGAGUCCUGGUGGAUGCUUGCCAUCAACCCCCAAUUUUUCUAUGGUUGACCUCGGAUCAGGUAGGGAUACCCGCUGAACUUAAGCAUAUCAAUAAGCGGAGGA